rnacentral:misc_RNA from 1 species
UGUUCAAAAGCAAAAUGGCGGCUGUUGGGGAUGGCAAGGUAACGGUGUGUUUUGACGUUGUGGCUGUGUUACCGGCGGGUGGAUCAGGAGUGAGAAUGAACUUGAGACUACCUAAACAGUUUUGUCAAGUAAAAGAAAGGCCACUGAUCAGUUACACCUUGGCAGCAUUUGAAAGUGUAUCAUGGAUCAAGGAGGUUGUUGUACCCAUCAAUGUAAACUAUAUGGAGGAAGCACAGAAGAUUUUGAAGGACUUUCGUCAUGGUAAAGUCAGAUUAGUUUAUGGAGGGUCCACAAGACACAGAUCAUUAUGGAAUGGUAUUCAAGCACUCACUGCAGAUGGGAGAACUCCUCCAACAGUAGUAAUUCUUCAUGAUGCUGUGCGGCCAUUUGUUGAUGAACAAACAUUGAGGAGUGUGACAAUGGCUGCUAAAAAUAAUGGGGCAGCUGGGAUGAUCAGACCACUUUCAUCCACAGUUGUUGCUCAGUCAUGUGACGGGUUCCUAGAUCAUUCACUUGACAGGUCAAAGUUCAGGGCAAGUGAAAUGCCACAAGCUUUCAAGUAUGAAGUCAUUCAGAAAGCCUACAUGAAGUGCACAGAAUAUGACUUUGAUUGUGGCACAGAGUGUUUACACCUGGCUCAAAAGUAUGCUGAUACAAAUGCUGUGUUGAUUGAUGGACCUGAAUUUCUUUGGAAGGUUACCUACAGAAAGGAUUUGUAUUCUGCCGAAGGGGUCUUGAAAGAAAAGCAACAGCAAGUGCUGUUGGUGAUAAAUGGAACAGACUUCCCAGAGUUCACGGGAAAGCUGCAUGAACAUAUACAGGAGAGAGAUGAAAUGGUCACGUAUCUUCCUGACAUAUCUGGAGACGGACAACUAUCACGAGAUAUGGCGCAGUGUUUGGCAUCCCAGAUCAACUUGAAGCUGGUGGCUCCCGGUUGCUGUGUUUCUGUUGUUUAUGUAACGCAGGACACACACGCAGAUGAACAAGUAGUUUGCAAGGGCCAUAACACAGUAGGUAUUCGGUUGUUUCUCAGAUCAUUCUGUGAGACGCUCGACUCCUGUUUGUUAAAAAGUGUGAGACUCGUUAAUGUUGGAUUUCGUCAUAGCAUUAAGGAUUUCGAUGCAUUUAAGGUAAGGUUAGCUACGAAUAAUAACGAGCUUAGACUUUUAUACACUGCUGAAGGUGUACAGUAGGAUACUGACUUCAACUCGGUUGUUAGAGCUUAUUCCAGUAUAAUAAAACAAGAGUGAGUAUUUCUUGUCGCCCUAAAUGAGAUGCUAGCUCAUAGCAGGAAAUCUCUGCCCACAUAAGAUUUCCAUAAAAGGUUUUUCUAAAUCAAACAAACUACUGGGUGGACAACAACAAAGCGAAAGUUAAGUUUCGUGCCAUCAUGGCCGCCUAGCCACGGCUCCAUACCGCAGGCGAGCACAUGAACCACCGGGCCACCUUAUCUCAUUCAGGUGGAGAAGGCUGGGAAAAAGUGAAAAGUAAACCGGUUGAAAUAGCAUAAUUCGACAUGGACUGUCCUCAACUGAUCUCUGGAAUCAUUAGCUGACGUCUGUUGACAGCUGUGAAAGAUCUCCAGUCCUGUUUACAGGAACAAGGCGUAAAUUGCUUCGGUGUGUUUGUCCUCUCCAACAGUACAA